GGUAAGGUGUCUGAAUUAAUAGGUAAUAGACUGUAAAUCUAUUUAUGAGAAGUUUUCUCCCUUACCA
rnacentral:tRNA from 1 species